GGUUUGUUCCAAUGGGUAGUUGGGAAUUAAGAUCCACGGGGAAGAUUCUGGAGACGCAGCUUGAAGGUUGAGCCAAAGAAAAUUGGGUAUCUGCCAGGCAGCAACGUACCUAAUUAAAGACUAUGUGAUAGCCGGAGCCCUAGCAGCGAUAUUGUGACCAUGAAGGAUGUAGCUACAUACCAGAAAGGGAAUCCCCCAUACUGAGCUGACUUUUGAUCAGAGUGAAGAGUUCUGGAAUUUGCUGUGAAAUGCCCACUUCCUGUCUAUUAAUGAAGGUUGAAGGA